rnacentral:rRNA from 1 species
GAUGAGCCCGCGCUCGAUUAGCUUGUUGGUGAGGUAAAAGCUCACCAAGGCGACGAUUCGUAGCUGGUCUGAGAGGACGAUCAGCCACACUGGGACUGAGACACGGCCCAGACUCCUACGGGAGGCAGCAGUGGGGAAUAUUGGACAAUGGGGGAAACCCUGAUCCAGCAAUGCCGCGUGUGUGAUGAAGGCCCUAGGGUUGUAAAGC